rnacentral:rRNA from 1 species
UACGUAGGGGGCAAGCGUUGUCCGGAAUCAUUGGGCGUAAAGAGCGUGUAGGCGGCCCGGUAAGUCCGCUGUGAAAGUCCAGGGCUCAACCCUGGGAUGCCGGUGGAUACUGUCGGGCUCGAGUCCGGAAGAGGAGUGUGGAAUUCCUGGUGUGAGCGGUGAAAUGCGCAGAAUAUCAGGAGGAACACCGGUGGCGAAGGCGGUGGUCGUGGGCCGGCAACUGACGCUGGAGGAGCGAAAGCGUGGG